rnacentral:RNase_P_RNA from 1 species
GCAGCUCGGCAGAUGAUCGCUGGUAGCUUAGGCUACGAGAGGAAAGUCCGGGCAGCGUAGGACAAGGGCAGUCGCUAACGGCGACCGGGGGAGACCCUAGGGAAAGUGCCACAGAAACUAUACCGCCAGGCUCACGCUUGGUAAGGGCGAAACGAGUGAGGUAAGAGCUCACAGCGACGCACGGUGACGUGCGGAGGAGGUAAACCCUGCCUGCUGCAAGGAGAGUUACAUAAAGGGCGGUCCGUCCGUAACUCGAUAACCGCUUGAUGUGCCCGGCAACGGGUGUACUAGAUAGAUGAUCAUCCACGACAGAACCCGGCUUACCGCUGAGCUGCUACC